GUGGGGAAUCUUGCGCAAUGGGCGAAAGCCUGACGCAGCCAUGCCGCGUGAAUGAUGAAGGUCUUAGGAUUGUAAAAUUCUUUCACCGGGGACGAUAAUGACGGUACCCGGAGAAGAAGCCCCGGCUAACUUCGUGCCAGCAGCCGCGGUAAUACGAAGGGGGCUAGCGUUGCUCGGAAUUACUGGGCGUAAAGGGCGCGUAGGCGGACAGUUUAGUCAGAGGUGAAAGCCCAGGGCUCAACCUUGGAAUUGCCUUUGAUACUGGCUGUCUUGAGUACGGGAGAGGUGAGUGGAACUCCGAGUGUAGAGGUGAAAUUCGUAGAUAUUCGGAAGAACACCAGUGGCGAAGGCGACUCACUGGCCCGUUACUGACGCUGAGGCGCGAAAGCGUGGGGAGCAAAAGGGAUUAGAAACCCUGGUAGUCC
rnacentral:rRNA from 1 species